rnacentral:rRNA from 1 species
GUGAUGUCAAGCUUCCAAGAAAAGCCCUAUACCCGUUAAGGCAUCAUGGCCUGUACUCGAAACCGACACAGGUGGGGUGGUAGAGAAUACCGAGGGGCGCGAGGUAACUCUCUCUAAGGAACUCGGCAAAAUGGCCCCGUAACUUCGGGAGAAGGGGUGCCAGCGAGAGCUGGUCGCAGUGAAGAGGCCCAGGCGACUGUUUACCAAAAGCACAGGUCUCCGCUAAGUCGCAAGACGAUGUAUGGGGGCUGACGCCUGCCCAGUGCCGGAAGGUUAAGGAAGCCGGUUAGCGCAAGCGAAGCUGGCGACUGAAGCCCCGGUGAACGGCGGCCGUAACGAUAACGGUCCUAAGGUAGCGAAAUUCCUUGUCGGGUAAGUUCCGACCCGCACGAAAGGCGUAACGAUCUGGGCGCUGUCUCGGAGAGAGGCUCGGCGAAAUAGAAUUGUCUGUGAAGAUGCGGACUACGUGCACCCGGACAGAAAGACCCUAUGAAGCUUUACUGUAGCUUGGUAUUGUGCUCGGGCUCGGAAUGCGCAGGAUAGGUGGGAGGCUUUGAUCCAUUGCUUGCGGGUGAUGGUGAGCCACUGGUGAGAUACCACUCUUUCCGAGCUAGAGUUCUAACCCUCGCCCGUUAUCCGGGGAGGGGACAGUAUCAGGUGGGCAGUUUGACUGGGGCGGUCGCCUCCUAAAAGGUAACGGAGGCGUGCAAAGGUUCCCUCAGGCUGGUUGGAAAUCAGCCGACGAGUGCAAAGGCAGAAGGGAGCUUGACUGUGAGACCUACAAGUCGAACAGGGACGAAAGUCGGCCUUAGUGAUCCGACGGUUCUGCGUGGAAGGGCCGUCGCUCAACGGAUAAAAGUUACUCUAAGGAUAACAGACUGAUCUCCCCCAAGAGUUCACAUCGACGGGGAGGUUUGGCACCUCGAUGUCGGCUCAUCGCAACCUGGGGCUGAAGUCGGUCCCAAGGGUUGGGCUGUUCGCCCAUUAAAGCGGUACGCGAGCUGGGUUCAGAACGUCGUGAGACAGUUCGGUCCAUAUCCGGUGCACGCGCAGGAAUAUUGAGAGGAUUUCUCCCUAGUACGAGAGGACCGGGAGGAACGCACCUCUGGUGUGCCAGUUAUCGUGCCAACGGUAAACGCUGGGUAGCCAUGUGCGGAGAGGAUAACCGCUGAAAGCAUCUAAGUGGGAAGCCCACCUCAAGAUGAGUAUUCCCAGGGCAAAAGCCAGUAAGGUCACGGGAAGAUUACCCGUUGAUAGGCUCUACGUGGAAGCGCAGUAAUGUGUGAAGCGGAGGAGUACUAAUAGACCGAGGGCUUGAC